rnacentral:rRNA from 1 species
AACAUCUCCUUUUGAAUUUUAUUUAAGGUUUAAUCUGCUCAAUGAGUAUUAAAUUGCCGCGGUAUUUUGACCGUGCAAAGGUAGCAUAAUAAUUAGUUUCUUAAUUAGAAGCUUGAAUGAAUGAUUGGACGAGAAAAUUUCUGUCUCUUUUUAAUUUAUUUUUGAAUUUUAUUUUUAAGUAAAAAAGCUUAAAUUAUAAUAAAAGACGAGAAGACCCUAUAGAGUUUAAUAUUUAUAAUUUAUUUAGUGUUAGAAAUUAUUUUAAAUUUUAUUUAUUUAGUUGGGGUGACUGGAGGAUUAAUAAAAUUCCUUUUUUUUAAAAGUUGAUGAUUGUUAAUUUUUUUAUCUGAAUGUUUCAAAUAAAAAAUGAAUUACCUUAGGGAUAACAGCGUAAUUUUUCUUUAGAGUUCUUAUCGGAAGAAGAUUUUGCGACCUCGAUGUUGGAUUAAAAUAAAUUUUUGGCGAAGAAGCUUAAAAAUUAGGUCUGUUCGACCUUUAAAAUUUUACAUGAUC